rnacentral:rRNA from 1 species
UACGAAGGGUGCGAGCGUUGUUCGGAAUUAUUGGGCGUAAAGGGUUCGUAGGCGGGAACGUAAGUUGAGUGUGAAAACCCCGGGCUCAACCUGGGACGUGCAUUCAAAACUGUGUUUCUUGAGUGUUGGAGAGGGUGGUGGAAUUGCUGGUGUAGGAGUGACAUCCGUAGAGAUCAGCAGGAACGCCGGAGGCGAAAGCGACCACCUGGCCAAACACUGACGCUGAGGAGCGAAAGCGUGGGGAGCAAACAGG